ACAGAGACUACGAACGUUACUCGGAUUCACUGGGCGUAAAGGGUGCGCAGGCGGUUUGGUGAGUUUGGUGUGAAAUCUCGGGGCUUAACCCCGAAACUGCGCCUAAAACUAUCCAACUUGAGUUUUGGAGGGGUAAGCGGAAUUCUAGGUGUAGCGGUGAAAUGCGUAGAUAUCUGGAGGAACACCAAUGGCGAAGGCAGCUUACUGGGCCGGAACUGACGCUGAGGCACGAAAGCGGGGGGAGCAAAAAG
rnacentral:rRNA from 1 species